rnacentral:rRNA from 1 species
GAAUCGCCGCUAGUAAUCGUGGAUCAGAAUGCCACGGUGAAUACGUUCCCGGGCCUUGUACACACCGCCCGUCACACCAUGGGAGUGGGUUGCAAAAGAAGUAGGUAGCUUAACCUUCGGGAGGGCGCUUACCACUUUGUGAUUCAUGACUGGGGUGAAGUCGUAACAAGGUAACCGUAGGGGAACCUGCGGUUGGAUCACCUCCUUA